rnacentral:rRNA from 1 species
GACGAACCGUCCAAACGUUGUUCGGAAUCACUGGGCUUAAAGGGCGCGUAGGCGGGUUCCCAAGUCGGUGGUGAAAUCUUUCGGCCCAACCGGAAAACAGCCGCCGAUACUGGGGACCUCGAGGGAGGUAGGGGUCGAGGGAACUUCCGGUGGAGCGGUGAAAUGCGUAGAUAUCGGAAGGAACGCCGGUGGCGAAAGCGCUCGACUGGACCUCUUCUGACGCUGAGGCGCGAAAGCCAGGGGAGCAAACGGGG